UGGGGCUGCAAAGAUGAGCCAGUCACAGUCACUACCCUCACCAAUACCACUGUCAAGCAAGACCACUAAAGUGUUUCCUCCUUCCUUUACCCUUUUUAGAUGAAGCAGGUCCAUGAAGAUGGGCUGUAUGUUUUGAUCAAAGAAGAUGCAACCCCUUGAGUUACUCCAGGCACAAGACUGUGUCUUUUAGGCUGGAUUUCCCCCACCCCAAAAUGCUGUGGAGGCUCAGAGGCAGAAGUCACACAUUUUCCAGCAAGCCAUGGGUUCUCACAUCAGGAGUGGAGGCAUCAGGACAACUUGGCAGCCAUGGAGGAAACUGUACCCAUCUGUUCUCCAGACCAGCCCGUUCUGGUGAUGAGGUGGAGUGAGGUGAGUGCUGGUAGGCACUGUGAUGUAGCCUGAGACCACAACUGAUGCAUCAGAAGGAAGACCGUUCCUUCUGGACCUUGGACCACAGUUGACCUCAGGGGAAGCUCAAAAGAAACAUGAUGGCCCGGACUUCAGAGAAGAAAAGACAAGUCCAUUUAGCUGAGUCCAAGCAGAGGUGUCGUGAAAGGGCUGCACUUCCUAUAAGGCGGACCAGCUGCAUUUUUGAGAGGCCGGUCACAAGGAUAACUUCUCAUCCUGGCAAUGAGACCAGGUACAAUCAAUGGGACAGAACCUUGGAGAAGCCCCAGCAAAUCUGUGCAUACAGGAGACUGCAGGGCCUCCAGGCCUGCAGCAGCGAUGGGGAGAUGUUAAGUACUUUGGACUUUACAAAUACCUUACAGGUAGUUGCGCUGGGUGGUGUGGGUGGUGCUGGGUCUCUACCUGGCAGACCUGAGUUCUGCACAGCGCCAUCUUCGGUCCCCGGGGUGGGUUUCUGUCCCCCACCACCCGUCUACAGACAACCGGUAACACUCGGAGAUAUCUGGAGACAGACUCAGAAUGUGAGAAAAGCAAGAGACAGGCUGGCUGAGGCCUUGGGGGCAGACAGGCUUGCCAGGGAGGCAGAGAGAGUCAGAAGCCAAGAGGGACGUUCUGACAACUAGAGGAAAAGUAGGAGAAGAUUGUGUGAAAGGGUCGAGUGGGGUGGCCCUGGGGAGGGUACUCGCCAGUGAGGCACGUUCCGCUUUCUGUUGCAUUGUCAACCCUGUUUCUCGCUCCCUGCCACCAUGCUUUGUUAUAGUAAGACGGCUCUUUAUUAAACUCUUUUGGGACACAAAGACAUGAAAUAGUGGGUGGUUUGGUGGGUAAGAGAUUGGAUUUCAUGUGAUAAGAGAGAAGACAAAGCUUUGCCAGCAGGCUCAGUGCCUUUGCUCUGGAUGAAACUUGUCUGCCUCACAGCAUAGGACGUGCUGGAAUGAUCCAAUAAACACUUCAUUUUAU